GAAGUAUCAAAGGGAUCAUAAUUCCAUUUUUUAAAGGUCUGUAUCCGUGAUAAUUUAAUCUAGCUGAUAAAAUGUGGGUAUAUUCAUUAUAUAUAAAAUGUGUUUCUGUGAUUACAUACUGUAUUAGUUCUCUUUAAAUGUAAUUGCUUAGUACUGAGUAAGAGUAGUUGCUUUUAAAAAAUGCGUAUGCUUCCCUGUAUUUUGCAACCCCUCUGCCCAGCAGCUAUUUUUUGUUUUACUGUAUUUUCAAGGUUAAAAUUUUUAUCAGUAAUAUUUAUAGUGGCAAAAGCAAGCAGUGUAUAUUUGGUCAGAUAUAGCAGUCUUAAAGUUCAUAGGACCAAAUCAUUAGAAGGAAUAUGUGGGUAUACUUCCAAGUUGUUUUGCUUUAUAGCAUCUUUACCAGGAACAUCUUGUCCGGUGAAUAUAAAGGACAUUCUUUACAACAAAAGAUGGCAGUAUAAGUGUUUUGAUUUUUUUUUCUCUUGGAUGUAUUAUUUUCUUCACAAAUUAUAAUCAUAAAACCUGACGUAGCAUUCUUUUUCCAAGGAAUGAAAUGAAGACCCUUAAGUAGAAGUAAAGUCUAAUAUCUGUUUUUCAUGUCAUUAAGAAUAUGUGAUUCUUGCUCAUGCUGUGAUUCGGAGGAUAGAGAAGGUUUGUUUAAUUGUGAUAGUAAGACUAAAUAUUCAAUGGUGCAGCUAAAGAACUAAGGAAAUCUAAAAUCUAUAGUUACGGUUUUGGGUCAUUGUCAGUUUUCUUUUGUUUAAGAUCAUAGGAAGAUCUAUCAUAUAAAAGUGACUGAUGCUUUAAAAAAGAAUUCCAUUACAAUCAGAUAAUUGUAGAGGGGCUCUAGGGAUUUUUGUUCAUAACUAUUUUAAAAAGUCAUGAUUUUCUUAAAUAUAUAUCCUGUCUCUUCUUAAAUUGUACACCAGGCCUUUUUACUAACAUGUCUCAUGGACUGCUUUUUACCCCUCUCCAAAUUAAGAAAAUGAUGGGCUAGGUUUAAAGAGUAAAUAAAAGGUGGCAGAUAAGACUUUGUCACCUCACAGUUCUUACCCUCUUACCAUCACUGUGUAGAAAUCAGGGCUUAUGUGCUUAAAGCAUUUGAAAUUGAUGUAGAACCCGGGACUUAUAAAGUGUAAAGAUCCAUUUUGUCAAUGAAUUGCUAGAUAGUAAGGUACCUCUUUGAGAUAGCUUCUACAAAAUAGACCUCCUUAUGGUCCAUUAUGUCAAAGUUUCAUGUAGUAAAAAAGAACAAAGCCAUGAAUUUAAGAUUCCAAAGUAGACUAUGAUGCAGUAAUAUUGACUUCAAGACACUGUAACAGUGAUGCUAUUCUUUGACUCACUGAGCUGUCCAUUUUGCUCUUUGAAAGUGAAAGUAUUUUAAGGAACAGUCCAUAAUGGUUGUCUGUUUGCCAAAUGUAUGUGAACUCAGCACUUAGCACUGUGAGUCCAGAAACAGAACUUGAACAGUCAUAUUCAAAAAUGCAAGAAUACUCUGUUCAGAAGACUUUUUAAAGUCAGUAAAACUAUCCUCAAUUUUUACAAUAACAAAAAUGAGUUCUCAAAAUAUGGAUAUGAUAUCUGAGAGAAAAAAAUCUGUUAUCAGAUCUCAAGAUGCUUAUAGAUUAUAUUAUGAUAUGAGAUUUUCAGAAAUGGGAAAUCUAAUUAUGGCUGUGCACAGCCUGAAUAAGGGGCUUAUGGGUAUAGCUGAAAAGUUAUAUAUUAGACAAAUAAACAGAAAGCUGGUAUUUCUUCAAAUGACUGAUGAAGGUCUAUAGAAGAUACCUAUGAGGCUGUGGAGAACUGUAUGUGGACUUAUGAACUUUCACUUACAGUAUAGGAUGUUACUGGGCAAUAAGUGGGGUAACAGUGAAUUGAGUCUUGCCUGAUAUGAAGUCUAUGGAUAAAACAAUUCAGUAAUGAGUGACAUGUAGUAGCUCCUUUUAUGUUUCCUGCUGUUACACAUCAGAUUAUACGUGCAUAGGAAGGAGAGCUGUAGGAGAAAUAGAUCAUUCCGUCUUUUUGUACGAUCGACAGCAGAUCAGAGUAGUGCUUGCUAGGUAACAUGUCCUAGUGAAGAAGCUUAAUGAUAAAUUUAGUCUGUCUUUGAAUUUGUGCAUCAUGUGAGAGAACUCUUGCCCCUGGAAUUAGUAAUGGGACCUACAACUGUCUUCUAAGGCCAGCGGAUAAAAAGUUGCCUUCCAAGUACUUGUAAGGGCAACAAUGUUAAAGUGCUCAGGAAGCCGGCUUGGGAAAAGGCAGUGAAAAAAGAGAAAAGUAGAGUUCAAUAUCCGAAGGAGAAUAGAAGAAAAUUAUGAUAGUAAAGUUGAAGAUGAAAAUUUUAGUUAGGAAUAGUUUGGAGAGUAAGCAACAUGCAUGCAGUAUCGAAGUCGGCAAACUAAGAAAUUUAAAGGGAUUUUUUUUGUGUGUGUGUGUGUGUGUGUGUGUGUGUGUGUCUUGGCAUAUGACAGAUCACAAGAUUAGAGAGAGAGGGAGCUUUAGUCUGUGAAUUUUGAGAAGAGCAAUGAGUUGAAAAUGUGAGGACUAAGCUGAAAGCAUACAGCUAUUGAAAUAGUAAAAGAAUGUAUUCUCUUUGACUGACCAGCUGUAAUUCUGUCUGUCAUGAAUGAAGAAUAGAUACAUGGAUCAUAGGUGUGUUAGGUAAAAGGAGGAAAGUCUUUUUCUCAUUGUUUGUUCUCAUGGUAAUAUUUCUUGAAAAACCAAUAUAUAUUUAGUUCUUCGGGAGGGUAGUAUGCAGACUACAUUUCAGAACCUCAUUGUAUUGAAGAUACAGUGUGCAAAGGGUGCUAUCUCUUUCCUAAAAUAAUUCCUUCAAAAAAUUAUAUGAUUUUCAUGAAGCCAGUGUCCUUUUAGUCAUUAAUGAUCCUGAUGCACUUUUCACAUAGAAGGGGUGUUAGUUUUGGCCUGGUUCCAAUUCAGGUAAUUACAUUCUGCCUCCAUGGAUUUCUCUGCAGUGUCAAUUUACUAAGGCAUUCUUCUCCAUCUUCCUCCCUAAAAAAUUAUGUACAGUCGCAGAGUGUUAGUUAACCAGCUGCUAUUUUGCACCUGAAAAGUGUCUAUCUUUCAGUUGUAGUGUGCAAGCAAUGCACCUGAGCGACAGGAAAAUGUGGAGCCUGGCAAUCAUUUAAGGGUUAGGUUAAGUCUUAUUUAUUUAUUUAUUUAUCUAUCUCCUUCUUUUGCUCUAUGGCUUAUAAUCAACUGAUUUAUUCCAGUUAAUGAAUUGCCAUUCAGUAGGAUGUAAUGUUAGUAUAUCAGAUGUUAGGGCAAGAAUCGUGAUUGGUUUUCCAUCCCCAAUGGAUCAUUGUGGCUAGAUUUUUUUUCUAUAAGUUUUCAUGGUUUUUCUUUUAUUUUGCUUUUGUGGAAAUGGAAAUGCUGUCAUUAUACAAGCAGCACUGCACUCCUGUGUUUCCUCCUUUAAAAAACCAAAUGCAAUGGGUCUUAUUGUCAGAUGACAGCAUUUUUGGGAAUAGCUGAUGUUAAUAUGCUGCGUUUUCUUCCCCUUUUCCCAUAAAAAGAAUUUAGUAUUGCAUGUGCUGAAUUCUGAGCUGGCCUGUGUCUCUUCUUUUGUUUCUAUAGAUGGUGAUCUUUUUUUCUUAGAGGCACUGUAUGCAUCUUGUGCUCUCAAUCAUGAUGAUGAGUCAUUCUCAUUGAAAUAGUAGUUGAAUUGAGUGUGAUGGUUAUAAUAUAUAUUAAUUCGUAGCCAUAAAAUAAAGAUCCAAUUAUAUAUAUAUAUAUAUAUUUUUUUUUCUGAGAGGUAGUAUAAUGUUACAGAAAGAUUUCUGAGGCAGAAAAUCAGAAGCCAACUAUCCCUACUGCUGUGGCUUUAUGCUUUGUUAUUGGUAUUCCCCAUCAUAACAUCUUGCAGUGCACUGAGAGUUAAAGAUGCAGCUCUGGUCUCAGAAGAAAAGAGUGAACUACAGAUCCCUUCCAAGAUGGACUUGGUUAUUCCAUUUCUGUUUUCCGUUCAGAGGGAAAGAUAAAACUGACUGGGAGUCAUGAGGCUGUUUUCUUUUUCAGCUCAUCUGUGCUCCCUAGCUGUCCCACCUACAGCAUUAGAGUAAGGCCUUCAGUUUUGGACUCUUUCUCUCCCUUGCAUUUUAUUUAUUAGCUUCAAAUCCAAUUAUAUUAUAUUAUACUGUGCGAUCUUGCAUUCUGAUAUAAUUUUUAGUAUGUUAGUUUUCUUAGCUUGUUGCUGCUGUUUUUCUUUUUCUGGGCCCAUCUCCCUGUCUUCCCCCUUUCCUGGGGCAGUAGUCUGUGGGUCCCUCUGCCUCAUUAGUCACAGAACUAGGCUAGGCUGGAACUGUGACACACUAUUGAGGGCUUUACUUAUAAUUUUGCAAAUCUGAAGCAUCUGGUUCAAAAGUUGGAAAUAGCUGUCACAGCUGACAUAAUAUUUUUUACUUGUUUUGAGUAUGAUUAAAUAUGAAAUGGUUUCCAUGGCAAAUUCUACAGCACAUACUUGUGCUAUGGUGUUGCUGGCUUUGCUGUUUUACUGACCAGUCAGAAAGGUCACCGACUGUUGGAGAUAAACAUGGUCACAAGGGCCACUGCAAAUGAAAGCAAAAAUAAUUUAUGAUCAUCCUGGUAGCAUGUCUUCUUGGAAGGGAGACUAUGCUCUCAGGAAGAUGAUCAUAUAAACAGAGUUAUGUGUGAUGUUAUCCAAGUUAUUUGGCAUUCUUAUUUGUAGAGCUUAUACUAAGUGGGGUUUUUUUUAUUUUUUAUUUUUGGUUUAUUUAUUUAUUUAUUUAUUUUAGAAAGGUGAUUUUCAGAUAUGAAGCUGAACAGUGUGAACUUUUGGAUAGUUUUAUUUAUAAUAUUAUCAGAAUUUCAACUUAUUCUUUCAAACCAAUGAAUCUAUCAUUACCAUAGAUCAAGGUUGGUGAUGUUUUUGUAGUCCUUUCUCUUGUUAUAAAUCCAAGGAUUUCUAUUAUUGGAAGUUUCCCCCAGUGCUUGCAGGGUAAUUUUUCUGUGUUUCAUGGUACUCUUAUUUCUCUGCUGUAAAUUUCACCAUUAUAUGCUCUUACUUUCUUCUUCCCCACUACUUGAUUAUUGGGAAACAUAGACGUUGAACAGAAGGUAGUUAUUUGGACUGUUUUACUGGGUCUUCCUGUGUGAUUCAAAUGACUACAUUUUUUUGUUUAUAAAUUGAAGUAAUACUUAUGUUCAUUAAUAUAAGUCUUUCAAGAAAUUGUUUCUUAUGAUGUAGUUGACUUCUUUGUAGUAGAGAAGUUUUUAUACUUCAUCUCAAGAAAUUAAAAAAUAAGAAACAGAGUGCCUUGAACAUGUAAUUCUCUGCAAAUCAAUAUUCCUCCAAUAUUUGUUUUUGUCUGCCAUUAGUAAAAUAUUUCCGGCUGCUCAGUGGCAUUUUUAAUGAUGUCUUUGAUAAUGCUGUAUGCGUUGUUUCCACAGAAGUGGGUUUUUUCUUACAUCAUUCCUUUUGACAUCAGUGGAAUAAUGGUUUACAAAAAUCAUCGUGAAACAUGUUCAGGUGUGAAGUUCUAGGGAUAAAGGACCAGGAUAUUGUCAUGUACAAAGUGGUGCAAGCACAAAAUUUAGCAUGCUGCUGUGAGAUGAAUGUAGCAUUUUUAGUGUUGACAUAGUGAAAUUAGAUGGGUGGAAAGAGAGAAGAGGAACAAAAAGGAACAUAAGAUAAAUAUACCUGAUAUUGGUUAAUAUUUCUAGUCACCUUGGAAAUAAUAUGCAUGAAUAAAAAUACCAGUCUAGUGCCAUGUUGUAUGAAGCAGGCGCCUCUUGGGAUGGUUGGUAAAGCAUAUGGAAGAAGCAAGCCUUUCUGGAGUCACCACAGAAGGCCAGGCCUAGAUACCAUAAGGUGGCUAAUGCAGCAUUAGAAGUUAAUGUUUAAGCAGCUGAAUCCCUUCUUUCCUGUUGCUCUAAAAGAGUGACUGUAUACUGCAAAAUAUUGCCGGUUCAAGAACCCUAGAGCAUUAUAAUAAUAAUCCUCCCUCACACUGAUAUCAUCAGCCAAAGUGUGUCCAAGAGGCACAGAGGACUGGUUGUGAUGAGGUCAUCUCCUAAAAGCUCAAAUACAUCAGUCACUCUCUCUUCAUUAAUGACUAAAAAUAUGAUCAAUCUGUAGCUGGUUUAUGAGUUGCUUCAAGAAAAAGGAACUAAUAAAUUGUUUUCAGAGGACUGAUAUUUCUCCUUCUCUUCACUCUUACCAGAAAUAUAUAGUCCAAAAGUAUAUUUUGUAAGAAAUACUAAACUUCUUAGCUUCACAUGUUUCUAAAACUGCUCCCUCUAACAGAAAAAGGAUGCAGCAAAAGUUUCAUCUGCUUCCUUAAAAUCACACUGAGCUUAUAGAUUCUGGCUCUUGGGUGUUAGUUGAAGCUAAAGUUAACUUUGUGGUGUUGAAAUACAGGGAAAAUGGUUUUAUUAAAUUCUGUGUCUGGCUGGAGAAAAUAGUGCUAAUUAUAGUUCAUCCUAAUGAAGCAGGUCAUUGAAAACGUUGCUCAGUAUUGUACGAAGCAACAGAUUUUCAUAUGACUUUAGGAGCAGUAGAACAGUCUUUGUGCACUCAGCUUGCACACCUGAAAUCUUUACUGAUCUAUGUGGAAUGCAUGCAUAAGCUCAGGCUGAUCUAAACAUCCUUUACAGCACUUAAAAUUCUUCACCGACUUUGUAAGUUUGAUUUCUCUGAACUUCAAAUUUUCACCCCUGCCACUUUACAGAUCAAUGUUGCACCUUUCUUGAAAACCUUGACUGAAGACCGUUUGCCUAGUUUUGCAAACAAUUUCAGUGGCAUAAAACACUAAAGAUCUGGUGACCUGGGUUAUGCAUCCCCAUUUCGGGAGAAAAUAAGAGGUUCAUCAUGUGUAAAAAAGACUUGAUAUUGUAUGUGAGUAAAGACUAGCAUCCUGUUUGAAGAAAUUAAGAGUAUGAAGCUUCUACAAGAAGUUGUCCCAGAUUAUUAUUCACAGAGUACAAGAACAAAGUGUUCAUAGGAAAACACAUACAUUGUAAUCAGCUCUGCUAUUAGGAGCUUUUUAAGAUAUAAAGUUUCAACUAUGUUUCAAAAAAAAAGCACUUCUUUGAAUCCUGUUCUGUGAGUGAUCUAUUUUGGAGCCAGGGUUUGAAUGGCUUUAGCAGGCAGUGAAUCUAUCCUUAAGUUAUUUGAAUUUAAUUUUUAAGUUUAUUUAAGGUAUGUUUCAUUUUUAGUGUAUCAAAGGGCAUUAUAUCAAAGUGCCUAGUAAAUACAUAAGACUUUAUUCUCUGUCCCAAAGAUGAUUUAUUUCUCUUCAGUCUUGAUGGGGCUUGAAAACCUUAGGCAUUCUUUCUCAUUGAAGAACCUGUGGGCUAUUUGCUUAAUGAUUAACUUACAGUUACCAUUGUGUUUCUAAUUUAUAAGCUUGAAGCAAAAGAAGUUGGAGCUUUCUGUUACGUCAGUAAAGCAAACCAUCUUGCAUAUCUUACUCUGGCAAGUUUCAUUAGGAAAUGUAUCAUUUGGGUUAAAAUAAGAAGUAUAUUCACGUUUGGAAAAUUAAGACUUUCUUCCUUCCCACACUAUAAGACUAAAUAUACAACUUUUGUUCACAUAACGGUUACAAACAGUUCACUGUGUAGGCCAAAUUCUCUCUAAUGCAGUAAAAUUAAGAAAUAAUAUGCUUUGAAAGUGAUUUAUGAGUGUGGUUAAACUGCCAGAUUUACAAAGAAAUAGUUCAGAUCUUGGGAAGCCUCAGGAGUCACGUCAAAAAUGAAUUUGACCAUGAUUUAAACUGCUACUUUUCUUACAUGACAUUUAAUAUGUGUACUUUGGAGGCCCAUAUGUCUUUAAUAAAAUAGCAUUAAGUUUUAAAAAUGAUAUGAAUGCAGUCAGUUUCUAAAUUCAUAACCUUUUCCACAACUCCAAAAUGCUAACCAAUAAGGGAGUCAUACAUGCAAUAAAACAUAAACCUUAGAAAAUAGUUUUUUAUUAGAAUGGUUAGACAGUUGGCAGCUGUGCUGUAAUGUAAUAAAUACAUGCAGCCAAUGUGGGUUUAUCAGCCUUUGUUUACACUGUAAUCAACUGGGACCAGACAAAUAAUUAUAACUGACGACCAAAGGUCAUGAAAAGUGUGUUUUGUCCAGUGAAUACAUACUUGCUAGGUGAACCUUAUCAUGUUAAGAAAAGUAAUUUAUUAAAUAAGAAAUGCUAAAAUAUGCUCCCGGCUGUAUUUGUCUGAGGAUAUAACAUUUAUUAGACAGUCAUAGACUUUAAGACUGUUCUGAAGGACUAACUACUUCAAGAACUAUGGAAAGAUAUAGUUUACAAAGGAUACCAAUACUUAGCAAAUGGUGGCCAAAAGAGACAUUAAAAAAAAGAAAAAAAAAAAGAAAAAUAAGGAGUUUAUUUUAGUCCAUAUUGAAGUUUAGACUCAAUAGCAGAAGAGCAUAAGUAUGUUUUGAGGGGUGCUUAUUUGCAAUGUGAGGUAUUUCAUUAAUUUUACAAAAAUAAUCUAUGUUAAGAUUAUUUUCUGAAACAGAAUCUAGACUAGCUUUCUCGGUAGCUUGAACUUUUAUUCAGAACAGCAUAUUCUGCUUUACUUUCUGAGUUAUGUUAUUCAGAAUGCAUAGAACAGUACCACAAGCCUAAUCACAGAUUCUAGGUAUUCUGAUGUUCUAAUGAAAGCUAUUGAAAUGAUGAUGGAGUCAGGAAAAGACAGAUUCUCUGUAUACUCUUAAGAGUGUGGAGUUGGGGGAUAAAAACUUUAUUGUGGUGUACUUUUUUCCUCCAAAAUGCUUUCACAGAUUUGAUUUCUGGUUAUUGUGGUUCUAGAAAAGCGGCAAAAAUAAAAAUAAUAAAAUAAUAAUAAAAAUCUGCUUUGAGAUGUAUUACAAAGCAUAUAUUCAAAUGCUAAUCUUUAGUUGUCCAGAAUUAUGAGUCCCCUAGAGCAUCCAGAAAAUUAUUAUCAGCAUGUAAUCCAGCUCAGUGUGAAUGCAUCUUUACUCUGUUAGCCAAAUCUUUAUAUAAUACAAGUCAUUCUACCUAUAAAAGCACAAAUAUGUUAUUGUUCUCAACAGGCAAUUUAAUGCAGCUAUAGGGAGGGGAGUAAGAGAAAAGAAGAUUACAAGCUAGCUGAUCAUGCUUUUAUUUCUCUUAAAUCUCUCAGCAUUUCUCUGUGGUUGUACUUGUUUAAAGAUUGUAUGCAACUGUGCUGUCUAUACGAUUUGGAAAGCAAAUCAGCCUAAAUACCAAGUUUCAUUGGGUGUAGCUUUUAGGGGAUUUGAUGCAUUUAUCACAAAUAUACAUUUUCCCUGCAGAAGAGAAACCUAUAAUCUUUUUUUUUUUUUCCUUGUAAUUCUUCUGAAGACUUAAGUUUUGCUCCACAAAGCUCAUUUAAAUUUGCACCAAGUUGUGAAGCUUUAUUUGCAGAAGAGCUAUUAAAGUUAAUUAUUUUCUGGAGGGUUUUAUCAAAAG
rnacentral:lncRNA from 1 species